rnacentral:rRNA from 1 species
UACAGAGGGUGCAAGCGUUAAUCGGAAUUACUGGGCGUAAAGCGUGCGUAGGCGGUUCGUUAAGUCCGUUGUGAAAGCCCUGGGCUCAACCUGGGAAUGGCAGUGGAUACUGGCGAGCUAGAGUGUGAUAGAGGAUGGUGGAAUUCCCGGUGUAGCGGUGAAAUGCGUAGAGAUCGGGAGGAACACCAGUGGCGAAGGCGGCCAUCUGGAUCAACACUGACGCUGAGGCACGAAAGCGUGGGGAGCAAACAGG